rnacentral:rRNA from 1 species
GUGGGGAAUCUUGCGCAAUGGGCGAAAGCCUGACGCAGCGACGCCGCGUGGGGGAAGAAGGCCUUCGGGUUGUAAACCUCUUUCAGUGGGGACGAGGCCGGCUGGGUUAAUAGCCCUGCCCGGUGACGGUACCCGCAGAAGAAGCCCCGGCUAACUACGUGCCAGCAGCCGCGGUAAUACGUAGGGGGCAAGCGUUGUCCGGAAUCAUUGGGCGUAAAGCGCGUGUAGGCGGCGCGGUAAGUCCGGUGUGAAACCUUGGGGCUCAACCCCAAGCCUGCACCGGAUACUGCCGUGCUCGAGUCCGGGAGAGGGAAGCGGAAUUCCUAGUGUAGCGGUGAAAUGCGCAGAUAUUAGGAAGAACACCGGUGGCGAAGGCGGCUUCCUGGAACGGUACUGACGCUGAGACGCGAAAGCGUGGGGAGCGAACAGGAUUAGAAACCCCGGUAGUCC